GCUUAACCGGAGAAGUGCAUCGGAAACUGGAUAACUUGAGUGCAGAGGAGGGUAGUGGAACUCCAUGUGUAGCGGUGGAAUGCGUAGAUAUAUGGAAGAACACCAGUGGCGAAGGCGGCUACCUGGUCUGCAACUGACGCUGAGACUCGAAAGCAUGGGUAGCGAACAGGAUUAGAUACCCUGGUAGUCCAUGCCGUAAACGAUGAGUGCUAGGUGUUGGAGGGUUUCCGCCCUUCAGUGCCGGAGCUAACGCAUUAAGCACUCCGCCUGGGGAGUACGACCGCAAGGUUGAAACUCAAAGGAAUUGACGGGGGCCCGCACAAGCGGUGGAGCAUGUGGUUUAAUUCGAAGCUACGCGAAGAACCUUACCAGGUCUUGACAUCUUGCGCCAACCCUAGAGAUAGGGCGUUUCCUUCGGGAACGCAAUGACAGGUGGUGCAUGGUCGUCGUCAGCUCGUGUCGUGAGAUGUUGGGUUAAGUCCCGCAACGAGCGCAACCCUUGUUACUAGUUGCCAGCAUUAAGUUGGGCACUCUAGUGAGACUGCCGGUGACAAACCGGAGGAAGGUGGGGACGACGUCAGAUCAUCAUGCCCCUUAUGACCUGGGCUACACACGUGCUACAAUGGACGGUACAACG
rnacentral:rRNA from 1 species